rnacentral:tRNA from 1 species
UAGCUUAAUAGGUCAAGCACUUGUCUAGCGCAUAAGGGCCGUGAGUUCAAAUCUCAU